rnacentral:rRNA from 1 species
GGGGGGGGGGGGGGGGGGGGGGGGGGGGGGGGGGGCGGGGGGGGGGGGGGGGGGGGGGCUGCUCGGACGUUGGCGGGGGGCGGGUGAGUGACACGUGGAGAACCUAGCUAUAAGGCUGGGGUAACUUCGGGAGACCGGAGCUAAUACCGGGUAAUAUAUUGACCCGCCUGGUUCACUAUUGAAAGACGGUUUGGCUGUCACUUAUAGAUGGAUCCGCGUCGCAUUAGCUAGUUGGUAAGGUAACGGCUUACCAAGGCGACGAUGCGUAGCCGACCUGAGAGGGGGAUCGGCCACACUGGAACUGAGACACGGUCCAGACUCCUACGGGAGGCAGCAGUGGGGAAUCUUCCGCAAUGGGCGAAAGCCUGACGGAGCAACGCCGCGUGAGUGAUGAAGGUCUUCGGAUCGUAAAACUCUGUUAUUAGGGAAGAACAAAUGUGUAAGUAACUAUGCACGUCUUGACGGUACCUAAUCAGAAAGCCACGGCUAACUACGUG